GGAGGAGGAACUGGCUGCUCUGCAGGGAGGAGAGUGGCUGCUGGCCACCUUGGGCAGCAGACAGUGCUCCCCCCCGCAGGUCCCCUGUCCAAGGUGGUCAAGAACCAGUGUGCUGAACUGGCAACAGAAGGUGAGGAGCGGACCUCAGAGGCUGAGGAGGAGGAGAUACUUGUUCCCAAGGCUGGGAAGCUCAAGACCACUAAGAGGGGGGAAGAGACAGGGUCCACCUGACCAAGAAGGGGAAGAGCUACCCACAGAUGAUCACGUGACGAGAUGAACUGAUGGCCAUUGGAUGGGGGCCAUUCUGGACCCAGGGCAGAGGGAGUUCCAAAGUCAAGGGGUUCUCACAGAGAAGGCCCUGCUAAUAGUUUCGUCUUGUUUACAGUCUGAGCUCCUCCGCUGUCUUGGCUGUGGCUUCCGAAGCAGUUACACCUGGGUAAUGCCCACUAGACACAAUGCUUUCAGUCUAGACAGCUGGUUGUGAAG